GUUUGCAAUCUGUAUUCGCGUCGUCCGUGGAUUGUAGCAUUCAGUUUCUGAGAGGAGUACCGGUGAGCAGAACUGCUUCUUGUCGCAAAUCUCCUGAAGGCCCUGAAAACAACAAAAAGCUUUUGUCAUCGACCCAAAAAACUCAGACGGCGUCGGCUCCAUGAGGCUGUCCACUUUCUCUGUGUCGCUCGAAGA